GAUGUGUAGGAUAGGUGGGAGGCUUUGAAGUGUGGACGCCAGUCUGCAUGGAGCCGACCUUGAAAUACCACCCUUUAAUGUUUGAUGUUCUAACGUGGACCCGUGAUCCGGGUUGCGGACAGUGUCUGGUGGGUAGUUUGACUGGGGCGGUCUCCUCCUAAAGAGUAACGGAGGAGCACGAAGGUUGGCUAAUCCUGGUCGGACAUCAGGAGGUUAGUGCAAUGGCAUAAGCCAGCUUGACUGCGAGCGUGACGGCGCGAGCAGGUGCGAAAGCAGGUCAUAGUGAUCCGGUGGUUCUGAAUGGAAGGGCCAUCGCUCAACGGAUAAAAGGUACUCCGGGGAUAACAGGCUGAUACCGCCCAAGAGUUCAUAUCGACGGCGGUGUUUGGCACCUCGAUGUCGGCUCAUCACAUCCUGGGGCUGAAGUAGGUCCCAAGGGUAUGGCUGUUCGCCAUUUAAAGUGGUACGCGAGCUGGGUUUAGAACGUCGUGAGACAGUUCGGUCCCUAUCUGCCGUGGGCGCUGGAGAACUGAGGGGGGCUGCUCCUAGUACGAGAGGACCGGAGUGGACGCAUCACUGGUGUUCGGGUUGUCAUGCCAAUGGCACUGCCCGGUAGCUAAAUGCGGAAGAGAUAAGUGCUGAAAGCAUCUAAGCACGAAACUUGCC
rnacentral:rRNA from 1 species